GGGGAGGUGGCAGAGUGGUCGAAUGCGGCGGUCUUGAAAACCGUUGACCGUUAACGCGGUCCCAGGGUUCGAAUCCCUGUCUCCCCG
rnacentral:tRNA from 1 species